rnacentral:rRNA from 1 species
AGUGAACGCUGGCGGUAGGCCUAACGCAUGCAAGUCGAACGGCAGCACAGUAAGAGCUUGCUCUUACGGGUGGCGAGUGGCGGACGGGUGAGGAAUACAUCGGAAUCUACUUUUUCGUGGGGGAUAACGUAGGGAAACUUACGCUAAUACCGCAUACGACCUACGGGUGAAAGCAGGGGAUCUUCGGACCUUGCGCGAUUGAAUGAGCCGAUGUCGGAUUAGCUAGUUGGCGGGGUAAAGGCCCACCAAGGCGACGAUCCGUAGCUGGUCUGAGAGGAUGAUCCGCCAAACUGGAACGGAGACACGGUCCAGCCCCCUACGGGAGGCCGCAGGGGGGAAUAUUGGAAAAGGGGCGAAAGCCUGAUCCAGCCAUACCGGGUGGGUGAAGAAGGCCUUCGGGUUGUAAAGCCCUUUUGUUGGGAAAAAAAAGCAGCAGGUUAAUCCCCCGCUGUUCGGACGGUACCCAAAAAAUAAACACCGGCUAACUUCGU